UACGAGGGGGGCAAGCGUUGUUCGGAAUUACUGGGCGUAAAGGGUUCGUAGGUGGCCAACUAAGUCAGACGUGAAAUCCCUCAGCUUAACUGGGGAACUGCGUCUGAUACUGGUUGGCUUGAGUGCAGGAGAGGAACGCGGAAUUCCAGGUGUAGCGGUGAAAUGCGUAGAUAUCUGGAGGAACACCGGUGGCGAAGGCGGCGUUCUGGACUGCAACUGACACUGAGGAACGAAAGCCAGGGGAGCAAACGGG
rnacentral:rRNA from 1 species